rnacentral:rRNA from 1 species
UACUUAGGGGGCUAGCGUUGUCCGGAUUUAUUGGGUGUAAAGAGCGUGUAGGCGGCCAGGUAGGUCUGCUGUGAAAACUCGAGGCUCAACCUCGAGACGCCGAUGGAAACCGUCUGGCUAGAGUCCGGAAGAGGAGAGUGGAAUUCCUGGUGUAGCGGUGAAAUGCGCAGAUAUCAGGAAGAACACCCGUGGCUAAGGCGGCUCUCUAGUACGGUACUGACGCUGAGACGCGAAAGCGUGGGGAGCGAACAGG